rnacentral:rRNA from 1 species
AGCAGCCACGGUAAUUCCAGCUCCAAUAGCGUAUAUUAAAGUUGUUGCAGUUAAAAAGCUCGUAGUUGAAUUUCGGGAUUGGCGCAUCGGUCGUGCCUCACGGGGUAUGAACUGGCGCAGUCAAUUUCUCACCUUCUGGAGAACCGCGAUGUCCUUAAUUGGAUGCCGCGGGGAACCAGGACCUUUACUUUGAAAAAAAUUAGAGUGUUUAAAGCAUGCAUUUUUGCUUGAAUACAUUAGCAUGGAAUAAUAAAAUAGGACGGCAUGGUUCUAUUUUGUUGGUUUCUAGGACCACCGUAAUGAUUAAUAGGGAUAGUUGGGGGCAUUAGUAUUCAAUUGUCAGAGGUGAAAUUCUUGGAUUUAUUGAAGACUAACUACUGCGAAAGCAUUUGCCAAGGAUGUUUUCAUUAAUCAAGAACGAAAGUUAGGGGAUCGAAGACGAUCAGAUACCGUCGUAGUCUUAACCAUAAAACCUAUGCCGACUAGGAAUCAGACGAUGUUAAUUUUUUAAUGACUCGUU